rnacentral:rRNA from 1 species
AACGAACGCUGGCGGCAGGCUUAACACAUGCAAGUCGAACGCCCCGCAAGGGGAGUGGCAGACGGGUGAGUAACACGUGGGAACAUGCCCAAAGGUACGGAAUAUUCUCGGGAAACUGAGAGCAAUACCGUAUGUGCCCGAAAGGGGAAAGAUUUAUCGCCUUUGGAUUGGCCCGCGUCGGAUUAGCUAGUUGGUGGGGUAAAAGCCUACCAAGGCGACGAUCCGUAGCUGGUCUGAGAGGACGACCAGCCACACUGGGACUGAGACACGGCCCAGACUCCUACGGGAGGCAGCAGUGGGGAAUCUUGGACAAUGGGCGCAAGCCUGAUCCAGCCAUGCCGCGUGGAUGAUGAAGGCCCUAGGGUUGUAAAAUCCUUUCGUUGGGGACGAUAAUGACGGUACCCAAAGAAGAAGCUCCGGCUAACUUCGU